rnacentral:rRNA from 1 species
UGGGGGAUAUUGCACAAUGGGCGAAAGCCUGAUGCAGCGACGCCGCGUGGGGGAUGAAGGCCUUCGGGUUGUAAACUUCUUUUGCUCUGAACAAGGCAUGCUAAUGGGUGUGUUGAGUGUAGGGGUUGAUUAGCGCCGGCUAACUACGUGCCAGCAGCCGCGGUAAUACGUAGGGCGCGAGCGUUGUCCGGAAUUAUUGGGCGUAAAGGGCUUGUAGGUGGCUGGUUGCGUCUGUCGUGAAAGCUCAUGGCUUAACUGUGGGUUUGCGGUGGGUACGGGCUGGCUUGAGUGCAGUAGGGGAGGCUGGAAUUCCUGGUGUAGCGGUGUAAUGCGCAGAUAUCAGGAGGAAUACCGGUGGCGAAGGCGGGUCUCUGGGCUGUUACUGACACUGAGGAGCGAAAGCAUGGGGAGCGAACAGG